rnacentral:rRNA from 1 species
AACGAACGCUGGCGGCAGGCCUAACACAUGCAAGUCGAACGCUCUAGCAAUAGAGAGUGGCAGACGGGUGAGUAACGCGUGGGAAACUUCCUAGGGGUACGGAAUAGCUCAGGGAAACUUGGGGUAAUACCGUAUGAUGCCGCAAGGCCAAAGAUUUAUCGCCCUUAGAUGUGCCCGCGUCGGAUUAGCUAGUUGGUGAGGCAAUGGCUCACCAAGGCGACGAUCCGUAGCUGGUUUGAGAGAAUGACCAGCCACACUGGGACUGAGACACGGCCCAGACUCCUACGGGAGGCAGCAGUGGGGAAUCUUGGACAAUGGGCGCAAGCCUGAUCCAGCCAUGCCGCGUGAGUGACGAAGGCCUUAGGGUUGUAAAGCUCUUUUGCCGGGGACGAUAAUGACGGUACCCGGAGAAUAAGUCCCGGCUAACUUCGUGCCAGCAGCCGCGGUAACAC